rnacentral:rRNA from 1 species
UACGGAGGGGGCUAGCGUUGUUCGGAAUUCCUGGGCGUAAAGCGCACGUAGGCGGCUUUGUAAGUUAGAGGUGAAAGCCCGGGGCUCAACUCCGGAACUGCCUUUAAGACUGCAUCGCUUGAAUCCGGGAGAGGUGAGUGGAAUUCCGAGUGUAGAGGUGAAAUUCGUAGAUAUUCGGAAGAACACCAGUGGCGAAGGCGGCUCACUGGACCGGUAUUGACGCUGAGGUGCGAAAGCGUGGGGAGCAAACAGG